rnacentral:rRNA from 1 species
GACGAACGUUGGCGGCGUGCUUAAUACAUGCAAGUCAACUGAAGCAGUGGUAGCAAUAUCGCUGUGGAGGUGGCGCACGGGUGAGUAACACGUAGGUAAUCUGCCUUCAGGUCUGGCAUAACUCCGGGAAACCGGGGCUAAUAGCAGAUGAUGCAGCGGCUCGACAUCGAGACAGUUGUUAAAGCUAUGGCGCCUGAAGAUGAGCCUGCGUCUGAUUAGCUAGUUGGCGAGGUAACGGCCCACCAAGGCAACGAUCAGUAGCUGGUCUGAGAGGAUGAUCAGCAACACUGGAACUGAGACACGGUCCAGACUCCUACGGGAGGCAGCAGUAAGGAAUAUUGCUCAAUGGGAGAAAUCCUGAAGCAGCAACGCCGCGUGAGGGACGAAGGGCUUUUGCUUGUAAACCUCUGUAGUGAGAGAAAAAAAUCCCAAUCUUUGGGACAUGAUGGUAUCUCAAAAGUAAGCCCCGGCUAACUACGUG